GAUGAACGCUAGCGACAGGCUUAACACAUGCAAGUCGAGGGGCAGCGGGGUGAGUAGCAAUACGAACUGCCGGCGACCGGCGCACGGGUGAGUAACGCGUAUGCAACCUACCUAUCAGUAAGGGAUAGCCCAUUGAAAGAUGGAUUAAUACCUUAUAAAGCAGUUGUUCCGCAUGGGGCAUUUUGCUAAAGAUUAAUUGCUGAUAGAUGGGCAUGCGUUCCAUUAGUUAGUUGGUAAGGUAACGGCUUACCAAGACAUCGAUGGAUAGGGGUUCUGAGAGGAAGGUCCCCCACACUGGUACUGAGACACGGACCAGACUCCUACGGGAGGCAGCAGUGAGGAAUAUUGGUCAAUGGGCGAGAGCCUGAACCAGCCAAGUCGCGUGAAGGAUGACUGCCCUAUGGGUUGUAAACUUCUUUUAUGUGGGAAUAAAAAAGGGAACGUGUUCUCUAUUGCAUGUACCACUAUGAAUAAGCAUCGGCUAACUCCGUGCCAGCAGCCGCAGUAACAC
rnacentral:rRNA from 1 species